CAGAGUGUAGCUAAAGGAGUACAGCAUCUCACUUACACCGAGAAAACGUCCGUGCAAGUCGGACCACCCUGA
rnacentral:tRNA from 1 species